GAUUAUGACCUUUUAAACCAUACUUCCAUCAUUUUUUUUUCAUCACCUCCCAUCAUUCAUUUCCCUCAAAUUUUGCAACCAAAACCCACCUCCAUCUCUCAUAAUCUCGGCUCAAACACCCCUCUUUAACCUUCAAUUCUUUAACCAAAAUCAACUAUUUUCUAGUGCUUCUACAUGGAUUUCAAGGGUGCUUGAAGUGUAGCAAGUCUUGGGGAACAUUUGGAGCUUAUUCUUGGCAUCUAGGAGCUUGCCUUCUUGAUCUUCUUCAUCUAGUUCAUCUACUAGAUUCUAGCAAAAUUGUUGACUCGCAUUUACGGAACACGUUGCUAGGAUAUCUCUCUCAGGAACGCAAAACAGAAACAAGAUGGAUCUUGGGCGCGGGUGUUGUUUUCAAGAUGUAAAUUUCAAGUUUAGAUGUCAUCCACUUUAGUUUGUUUGUAACUUAACUGGAGGUCAUGUUGAUUGAAACUUAAAUGACUUGUGAUUGUAAUGUUUUGAACUUUUGAAUGGAUGAACAUCAUAUUAAUCAUAUAGUUGUUUGUUA